GCCCAGGUAGCUCAGUCGGUAGAGCAGAGGACUGAAAAUCCUCGUGUCGGCAGUUCGAUUCUGUCCCUGGGCACAA
rnacentral:tRNA from 2 species